GGGUGGUGGUGUCGACUGCGCGGUGGUGUCCGCGUGUCCAGCUCCGCCCUGCGCCCUAGCAGCGCUAGCGGGAGGCCGUUACGUCGCCGGGUCCCGGCACCCAGCUCCCCGCCCCCGGAUUCCCUAUCUGUGCUCUGGUCCCCCACCCAGGAGCUGGCCUUGCAUUUCCAGGAGCUGGGAAAGCGCUCCCGGAAGCUAGAGUGUGAACCCCAGGGGAAUCAUAAUGCCCAAGGCUUGGGGGACAUCUGGUCCACCGAGGGCUCUGGCUAUCAGUGCCGAGCCUCGAUGCCUCCCACAAGGAACACCACACAGGAGGUCUGCCUGACACACCUGUGACGAACCAGGCUGAGGGCGAACCAAGGGCAGAGAGGGGACACUUCUGACCCCUGCGAGGCCCUCUGCCUACUUGGAGGGAAGGGUCCCAGAGCUUGCUGGCUGCUCUAGCUCAGAGAGGCUGAGGAGUUUGCUUCCUCAGAAUCGGAUCUGCGGUACCUGGCUGGCUCAGUGGAGAAGCGCACCAAUCUUAAUCUCCAGGUGCUCUGCAGGUCACCUGGACCUCCACUCUGUCCUCUGCAGAGGGAGAGAAGGAAGCCCCACCCACCUGGCAGAGUUGGAUGGCGAUGAGAAUCCAGCCUUUGUGACAUGCUUGUCCCUGCCAGAGAAAGAGAAAACAUGAGAGGAGAGAAGGUCGGAGGG